rnacentral:rRNA from 1 species
UACGGAGGGGGCAAGCGUUAUUCGGAAUUAUUGGGCGUAAAGAGCGCGUAGGCGGUCCUUUAAGUCAGAUGUGAAAGCCCAGGGCUCAACCCUGGAAGUGCAUUUGAAACUAAAGGACUUGAGUAUGGGAGAGGGAAGUGGAAUUCCUGGUGUAGCGGUGAAAGGCGUAGAUAUCAGGAGGAACACCGGUGGCGAAGGCGACUUCCUGGACCAAUACUGACGCUGAGGCGCGAAGGCGUGGGGAGCAAUCAGG